rnacentral:pre_miRNA from 1 species
AGGAGGAACAACCCCAGUGGCGGGGCAGCUCUGGAAACCUGGAUUCAGCUCCGGCAGGAACUCCGUCUGCAGGGCCUGGAGGCUCCGGGCGGGG